rnacentral:rRNA from 1 species
GGGUUAAUACCGAAUGUGGUCGCUCCGCACAUGCGGAGUUGUCUAAAGGUGGGGAUCGCAAGACCUGCCGCUUCGAGAUGAGCCCACGUCCUAUCAGCUAGUUGGUAGGGUAACGGCCUACCAAGGCUUACGGGUAGCUGGUCUGAGAGGAUGGUCAGCCACACUGGGACUGAGACACUGCCCAGACUCCUACGGGAGGCUGCAGUCGAGAAUCUUUCGCAAUGGGGGAAACCCUGACGAAGCGACGCCGCGUGCAGGAUGAAGGUCUUCGGACUGUAAACUGCUGUCUUUGGGGAUCAACUGACGGGGCGCUAAUAUCGCCACGAACUGAUAGUACCCAAGGAGGAAGCCACGGCUAACUCUGUGCCAGCAGCCGCGGUAAUACAGAGGUGGCAAGCGUUGUUCGGAUUUACUGGGCGUAAAGGGUGCGUAGGCGGAAUCGUAUGUCGGGUGUGAAAGCCCACGGAUCAUCCGUGGAACGGCACUCGAAACUACGAAUCUAGAGUGCAGGAGAGGAGGGCGGAAUUCUCGGUGUAGCGGUGAAAUGCGUUGAUAUCGAGAGGAACACCGGUGGCGAAGGCGGCCCUCUGGACUGACACUGACGCUGAGGCACGAAAGCUGGGGGAGCAAACAGGAUUAGAUACCCUGGUAGUCCCAGCCCUAAACGGUGUGCACUUGGUGUGGGAGGAAUUAUCCCCUUCCGUGCCGAAGCUAACGCGAUAAGUGCACCGCCUGGGGAGUACGGCCGCAAGGCUAAAACUCAAAGGAAUUGACGGGGGC